GUGCUUGCUUUGGCAGUACAUAUACUAAAAUUGUAACAAUUCAGAGAGUGUUAGCAUGGCCCCUGUGCAAGGAUAACAUGCAAAUUCAUGAAGUGUUCCAUAUUUUU